CUCUAGUGACCGAUAGUGAACCAGUACCGUGAGGGAAAGGUGAAAAGUACCCCGGAAGGGGAGUGAAAUAGAACUUGAAACCGUGUGCUUACAAGUAGUCAGAGCCCGUUAAUGGGUGAUGGCGUGCCUUUUGUAGAAUGAACCGGCGAGUUACGAUUUGAUGCAAGGUUAAGCAGUGAAUGUGGAGCCGUAGCGAAAGCGAGUCUGAAUAGGGCGUUGAGUAUUUGGUCGUAGACCCGAAACCAGGUGAU
rnacentral:rRNA from 1 species